rnacentral:rRNA from 1 species
GACGAACGCUGGCGGCGUGCUUAACACAUGCAAGUCGAACGGAAAGGCCCUGCUUUUGUGGGGUGCUCGAGUGGCGAACGGGUGAGUAACACGUGAGUAACCUGCCCUUGACUUUGGGAUAACUUCAGGAAACUGGGGCUAAUACCGGAUAGGAGCUCCUGCUGCAUGGUGGGGGUUGGAAAGUUUCGGCGGUUGGGGAUGGACUCGCGGCUUAUCAGCUUGUUGGUGGGGUAGUGGCUUACCAAGGCUUUGACGGGUAGCCGGCCUGAGAGGGUGACCGGCCACAUUGGGACUGAGAUACGGCCCAGACUCCUACGGGAGGCAUCAGUGGGGAAUAUUGCACAAUGGGCGGAAGCCUGAUGCAGCAACGCCGCGUGCGGGAUGACGGCCUUCGGGUUUUAAACCGCUUUCGCCUGUGACGAAGCGUGAGUGACGGUAAUGGGUAAAGAAGCACCGGCUAACUACGUG